UAUCGAGUUUUUGAAACGGGUUGUCGCUGGUCCCGUUCUUAACAGAGUCGGGACAUGGGCACACCUGGCUUCAUUCCACUCUUCAACCCCUGGGCACUUGUUGUAGGUUUUCAGGUCGGACGCGGGGCUUUUGACUUCAUCGUCGAGAGCCUCAAGGAAAGCCUGAGCCUAUGUUUUACCAUACACACGCUUCAGUUAUAGAAUGUAAACAUCGCGUAUAACGCAUUUUAAAUACAACUUUCAGCAACGGAUCUCUUGGCUCUCGCAUCGAUGAAGAACGCAGCGAAAUGCGAUAAGUAAUGUGAAUUGCAGAAUUCAGUGAAUCAUCGAAUCUUUGAACGCACCUUGCGCUCCUUGGUAUUCCGAGGAGCAUGCCUGUUUGAGUGUCAUGGAAUUCUCAACCUUUGAAAGCUUUUAUCGGUUCUCAAAGGCUUGGACUUGGAGGUCGUGUCGGCUCUGCAAAGAAUCGACUCCUCUGAAACGUAUCAGUGCGAACCUUUACGGAUCGUCUUCGGGUGAUAAACGUCUACGCCGUGGUCGUGAAGUAUGAUCGUGUCCGUGCUUCUAACCGUCUCCUUUGCGAGACAAAAACUGUGUUACUAUAAGUAACAUAGGCAUUGACAAUCUGACCUCAAAUCAGGUAGGACUACCCGCUGAACUUAAGCAUAUCAAUAAGCGGAGGAAAAGAAACUAACAAGGAUUCCCCUAGUAACUGCGAGUGAAGCGGGAAAAGCUCAAAUUUAAAAUCUGGCGGUCUUCGGCCGUCCGAGUUGUAGUCUGGAGAAGCGUCUUCCGCGUCGGACCGUGUACAAGUCUCUUGGAACAGAGCGUCAUAGAGGGUGAGAAUCCCGUCUUUGACACGGACUACCGAUGCUUUGUGAUGCGCUCUCAAGAGUCGAGUUGUUUGGGAAUGCAGCUCAAAAU
rnacentral:rRNA from 1 species